rnacentral:rRNA from 1 species
UACGGAGGCAGCGAGCGUUGUUCGGAGUUACUGGGCGUAAAGGGUGUGUAGGCGGUUCUUUAAGUUUGGGGUGAAAUCUCCCGGCUCAACUGGGAGGGUGCGCCGAAUACUGAGGGACUAGAGUGCGGGAGAGGAAAGUGGAAUUCCUGGUGUAGCGGUGAAAUGCGUAGAUAUCAGGAGGAACACCGGUGGUGUAGACGGCUUUCUGGACCGUAACUGACGCUGAGACACGAAAGCGUGGGUAGCAAACAGG